ACCCUACCUAUAUAAAGAAAUAUGAGAGUGAGACAAUUUGUUUUCCCUUGAAAUGAAAUACUAAAACAAGAUUACAGAGAACUGAGUAUAUGGAAGGUGUUGAAGAAAAGUUAGUAUUCAGUUGUUUGGGUGGUUUAUAAAGAAUCUAAUGGAAGGUGGAAUAACUUGUAACUAGAACGGCAAAGGAUCUAAUGGAGGCAAUCAAACACGAUAUUCUAAUGCCUGUGGAGUGUUGCUAAAACAAUCUCGGCGGUUCAACAAGCUCUGGAGAAUAAGAAAUGGGUGUGGGCUGUGCUUCAGGUGAACAACAUAAUUUGUAAUUUUAUCCCUUUUCCAUCGUCAGUAUGUGAUGUGAUCAACCAUAGAAUUAUGCACUGAAUGACAUCACUGUUGUUAGCUAUUUCAGGAUUUGUUAGUAUUAGUUAGAAAAUGUACUUUGUCUAUUGCUUCUGGGAGUAUUUAGGACAAGACAUCACUAUACACCCCACGAUACAAAUGGAAAGUGUAUUGCAGAUGAAACGUAAUUUUGAACUAUGGAAGAGCAUCAGGUAAUUUAGGACUGAUAUGUGAUAUGUCAAACAAUUUAAUCAGCCCGUAAUGAGAUACAGCGGGCUUCUUUUAGUCCAUCUAAACACAGUAAACCCUUCUUUCUUUUCUUCUUCUUAUCCCAGCCGCUGCAAUAAAAAGCAAAGAGAGUGGAGAUAAGCUUUCAGACGCCUCACUUAGCAAAUCAAAUAUAAACCCUAAGUUUUCUAAAUCUUGAGCUUGCAGACGCCUCACUAAUCAAGCAUUGAUCUUUGAACUCCAUCAUCCAAUUUUGUAAGUGUUUCUGAAAUGCUUCUAAUUUCAAGCCUAGAUUCAUGAUUUAUUCUCACCUUGUUUGGUGUCGGAAAGUGAUGCUGUUGAAAUGGAUUCAAUACCCAAAUAUCCAGAUUGUUCUGUUGAAAUGGAUUCAAUACCCAAAUAUGUUUGCUUCCUCUGGUAAUGGUUACCUAGGGUUUUAUUCUGAUAACUGUGAUAUGGGGUUAAUUAGUUGUUCCAACUCUUCCACUAAAGAAUACAUAAAACUUACAUAUUAUUUCAUUAAGUUCGUUGGUAUCGAUUUUGGGGCCAUCUAGGUAAUUGGAUUACAGAUGAACUUAUAUGUGAGCAUCUUAGUGACUGCAGUGAGCCUAGUAAAAUCCUCAUGGUGGAAUAUUGAUUAUAAAGCAUGAAGAGACUUGACGAUUUGUGGAACGAAGACAGGAUGCACGAUCUUGUUUUAUGAUUUAAUUUGGAAUCAGUGUUUCGGAUAUACAUAGAGAUUAAUUUGGAGAAAAAAGUUAAUUUGGGUUGUGGUAUCUAUAGAUAUCCAAAAUCUGUGUUUUCAAAGGCGCCCUUUGAUGCAUAGUAGACGAGUAUAUUCAGUGCUUGUUUGCAGCAUCGAUCAUGGUAUUCAACAAACUGUAGCCUUCUUUUCUCACCUAAUGCAUAGUAGAUGAGUAUAUUCAAUGCUUGUUUGCAGCAUCAAUCAUGGCCCUGAUAUCAUCAGGGCAUUCAUUCCACAAACUGUAGCCUUCAUUCGACAAACUGUAGCCUUCUUUUCUCACCUAAAGAUUUAAGCAUAACCAAUAAGUUAUCAUCGACCGUCAUCACACUCUCUAUAUACUUUUCCCUGGUCCCCUAGUGCGUGUAAUGCUUGAGAAUUAAAAUUCCACUGUAGCAUUCUGAUCUAAGUAGUGAAAACAAUUUCUUUUUAUAAGGUAAAAGAAGAAGAAAGAAGUUGUUUUCAUCAAUAGAUGAGAAUGCGUGUGUGGGAUAAUGGAAGCUGGUAUGAAAAUGAAGUUGACUGUUCUGAUUUGGAAGAAGCUUGGAUGCUCGUCCAGCAAAGAAAUUCUAAGUUGACACCUAGAUGACCUGAGGUUGCUAAAAGUCAUGAAAGAAUGUCACAUUGAGCUCCAAUCAAUAUUGGUAACCACAAAAUCUCUGAAAUUCGCAACACGGAGUUGGUUUCAGGUAUGCUGGUUUCUCCUUUUAGUUAAGUUCAUUCUCUGAUAAAUAAUAGUCUUGUUGUGUUAUGUAUUUGUAGUAAGAUCUCAUUGAUCCAACCUGUAAAUUUUCUCUAGUGCAAUUUGUCAUUUGUCUUUUAUAACUACUUUUUAAGUUCAAUUCUUUGUGUUCGGCAAAAGUAUCAUUCAAACAGGUUUUGUAGCUCAUGUCACAUCCUUAUCUCCGUAUUUCAUUUCAUUUCAUUCUAAAGCAUGAUUAUCUUCGUUGCGACCACCUUAUCUCCUUGUAAAGAAUAUAAGUUAAAAUAGAUCUAUGAACCUUUGCUAUAAAGAAUCUGACAAAUGAUGCAUACCCUCUCAAUGAAUAUUGCAAGAGAUAUUUUUUAUUCAUUCAGUUUCCUAGUUCUUAUGAUUGAGUCUGUUAUAUUUAUUGAUGAUAUGAUUGGGUCUGCCAUUGUGCAUUACAGCAUUUCAACUGUUUUUUUUUUUUUUGAAUAAAAAAAGCUGCGUAACAACACCCUUUCUUUUCUAUUUGUGGCAUUUAUAUUUCUCUUUCUUUAAGUCAGCAAAUAUUGGAGUAUAUAUCUAUGCUUGAAAUGCUCUGGUUGUGCACCGAAGUCUUGGUACUUAUAUUUCAAAGGUAGCUUUGAUGGAUCUGUUAUUUUGUAGUUCACAUAUGCUAGGUUUAGCUUUGUCAUUCUGUUUUCUCACCACGAAUCACUUGGAUGUCUGGGGAUCUAAAGAUCCUAAGUAGCAGCACGAUUAACACAUGCAUAUCACACACACAUUUGCACUGGUCGCACAAGCUAAUUCAGCAACAGAAGUAUGCUUCACUAGUUCACAUCCAUUUGGAUCAUAGAAACUUAGUAAAUGAGAGCCUAGAUUUACUGUCCAUUGUAUGUUUUAAAUAUUUAGAUCUGACUGCUUAAGCAUUUAUAUCAUGAACUUCCUUAACAAGACUCAAUCCCUCAGCAGAAAUGUGAGGCAUGAGCAGAACUAUUCUUUUUUUAUCUUAAAUCACUAGGCAUUAUCGGUCUGUUUUAGAUGAUUUGUCUGAUGAAGAAGUUGAGUCCAUGAUUGAGAUUGGUGAAAAUUCUUCUGCUAAUUCAACCUAUGGCGCUUUUAUACCUGAUGUAACCGCAAAGCCUGGAGCAGAUUCAAGUCAUGGACUGAGUUCCAAGUUUAUCAGGGCCUGAAGAAAGCAGACCAGCAAAGUAUACUGGACGUUUCGGAUAUGCGAAGAUCUGAAGUUACCCAACCAUUGGUAGUUCUGUCAGUUGUGCUGGCAGCACCGACAUCCCCUGCUGAUUUACUGCUGCUUCUGCAGCUGGUAAUGCAAUAUCAACCAUGGGUAUUGCUUCUUGUGAGGAUGUGUGUUAACUUGAGUAGAAUGCAAGGGUUCCAAAGGUUCCUUGCCCUAAACAGAGGCAGGGAUAAAAAAAGUUGUUUUCUUGCUUACCACCUCAAGCACACAUCUGCAUAAGCAUCAGUGGAGGUGUUGGCUUCUGCAGUUCGAAUAUGUUCUGGUGACAUAUAACCAAAGAUGUCUUGCACUGACCAGCAUCUCUCCUUGUCAUGUGCACCAUCCACGGAACUGAGCUAGGUUGCGACGCCUAGUUCUUGGAAGAUUCUGAAAACCGUUAGAAGUGUGCCCGCAGCGCUGGACAUGUCUUCAUCCCCAGAUGUUUUACCCAAAGACUGAAGUGGUGAUUGUUUAAAUAGCUAUGAUCUUCUUAUACUUUCUCCAUCUUCGGCAGUCGAUAACACUUCGUUUUCAGUGGUAUUGAAGUAAAUGGAUAAAUUUGAUGCGGCAUUUUGUGUUGAUGUAGUUGUUCUGGUGGCAGUGGUGGUUGCAGCAUCUCUCCUUGUUAUGUGCACCUUUGAUGUCUAAUUCUUGUAAGAUUCUAAAGAUCGUUAGAAGCGUGCCCGCAGCGCUUGACAUACGUUUUACAAAGAGUGGCGAUUGUUUAAUAGCCAUGGCGAGUUGUUCCAGAAUAUCCAGCUUUGCGACUCUCCGAUCUUCAGAAAAGUCAUUUGUGGCACCAAGAUGUACAAGCCUCUCAACAUCAGAACCCCUAUAAGAUCCUUUUGGUGAAUUGGCUUAUUAGGACUUGUCACUUAGUCAGUUGUUUUCAUGUUGUGAUAGAAUUACUGAAUUACAUUUGCAAUUACUGGCAGUGGGUUACUUGGUUUUAGCAAAUUCAGUUUCAGUGUACGGUACAAGUUGAAAAAAGGAAAUGGUUGAAAAUAUUAACGGACAGUUUUUUA